GGUAUAAUAGCUGCCCCCCCAUGGGGGCUUCACAGCGAUUUCAGCUUCGUGGCCGUUGGAUCUUGCUAGCUGGGUUCACUUAGUCGAUCUCGUCCAUUCAUUCCGGGCCAGACCUUCCUAGAUGAAACCAUGUAACAGCCAAUUUCUACUCGCCUCCUUCUGUAUUUGGGACCCGCAGCUCGUCUGGUCCACUCGUCAGUCGCUUGGGUGGGUUUCCAGUUAGUUAGGCGUGGCUGGGGGCGUAAGGGGUUGGCUGCCCACCCAAUCCCCACUCACGUUUCUCUCUCCCCCAAUCCCCACUCACGGUUCCUCUCCCCCAAUCCCCAUGGUUCUUCUUCCAAUUCCUCAACCCUAGGCCAAUCCCGACCCUGCUCGCCGCCAGCUCCUGCCCCUCUCUCUUCCUCGGCUCCAAUGGAGCGAAGCCGGCGACGCGAGGCCUCCUCCCCUUUCCACGGUUCCUGAGCAGGCGCGCACGCGAGCGCGCAAGGGCAUGCGCGGGGCGGGCUGGUGACCAAGGCGAGGCCAGCAGGUGACGGUGGUGAGGGGCCUAUGCGCGGCGGGCUGCUGCUGUGCUCCGCCUCUCCAUCCCCCCAUCGAGGCGGAGGACGACAUGGCACCAGCGACGUCGCAGGAGCAUGCACCCGAGACGGCCAUCCAUGGCGCUAUUGUUGUCGAUCUGUCUGUCGCUGCUGUGUGCUCCGCCCCGCUGCCCUCCUCCUCUCCUCACUCUCCAUGAGCUCACGCCGAUAUGCCGUGACAUCCCACAAAACCGGCGGCGUGAGGAGGCCGUGGAUGGCGCUACUACUGCACGAUUCGUCGCCACUGAGAUAUAUCAUGUAAUUUCACUUGGAGAGGAGAAGAGAAGCGAAGAGGAAGUGGAAGAGGAAGUGGCAGAUCUAUGGGAGAAUCCCGAAAUACAUAUAUUUGAAUUUGGUACCCACCUAAAUGUGCAUAUGGUAUUCCCGGAAGAUGUUAUAUUGGUUGCUUGGAUUCUCUCGGAAUGCUAUUCUAUAUCUUAUAUGCUCCUAUUGCGGAAAAUAAUCGAGUAUGAAGAAAAUAAUAUGACGCUGGUCUGUCCCUAAUCCCUUCUUUCAUGCCCAGGGGAGCCGUGUUGUUCCUGUUCUCCUCCACAUGUUUGGUCUGCUUCUGUGUAUUUAUUUUAUUAUCAAUUACGCAAUAAUGAUUUUCUGAUGGUUAUUGUCUCUGCAAUUGGCCUGUUACACUUGAUUCUGUUGUUGUCCAGGGGUACUUUUCUUCGUAUACCUCUACAUUUAUUUGGAAUAUAUGCAGAUAUGUACCUCUAAAGAAGAGAUAUCUCGGUGUGAUCAUGAAAGUGAGAAGUUGAUUCAAUGCAUGUUCAUCUACCGAGGUCCUUCUGUUAGUUGGAGUUAUGGCUACUCUUUUCGCCUUCACCGUCCUCUUGAGAGAGUCUUCAUUUCGCCAGGUUUUGGAGAUAAAGAUCAUUAGCUGCUACGAGCUAAGACUUCAUACAUAUAUACUUUUCUUUCCUCCUAGCAUCAAUAUUACAAUAAUCAUUGAUAUGUGGUCCAAACUGGAAAGGUCACAUUAUCGGAGAAGGGUAGAGAAGGAUCGGCAGAACAUGAAUGGGCUACAUGCCCAUCUAUUUUUGUGAUUCAAGAGGUGGCCGCCUCCCUAUCUACCUCUCGGAAGUGGCCGCCGUGGUACUUGAUCGUGGCCAAGCGAUUCAGCACCGAGGUCAUCGACCUCACCAAAGAGAACUUCUCUGACAAGGUUGUUUCUGAAAUAAUCCUCCUGCAGACAUAGCCAUCGGUCGUGAAGCCUCCUGGAUCUAGGUAUGUCUUCAUGUCCUUGAGCUUUCAGAUGUGAAGAUGGCCUUGAUCGGGAAACCAUCGCCUGGGUCGAAAACUACGGAAGAGUUUGCUCCUCAGCCUCGGUCUGAUAAGGUUGGUCUGGCUGCAGCUGGUGCUCCAGAUUCUCCGCCUACCUCAUCCACCGCGAUGACAAACAACCCUUCAACCAAGUUGUUCUUCCGUUCUUUUAUAUAUUCGUCUGCUCGUUUUGUUGAUUAAAGAUGGACAGAAGUAAUUACCUGAGCUUGGUUCCUUCAUGCUACUCUCUUUCUUCAUGAUAUAUCUGUCUCUCCUUGGUAGAAUCCUUUUUUUAGAACUAAGGAACCAGUUAAUGCGGAGUUUGAUGUUCGGUAUCUAACUCUCCGUAUCGGGUGUACCUUAAAAUGAUGUGUUUUGUACCUUGUCAUUGAAUUUUUUAUGAGGUAUUUAAUUUUACAACCUUCCAGAUUGUAUAUAUAUCGUAUUCAACAUUUAUGGUUACAAUUGUAUUUUCUGAAUUAGGCUUGCUAAUUCAUCUCCUCACACAUGAAUUUUGGCUUACUGAUUUUAUAGGUCUUUCAUUUUGCAAGUCUUUGCUUUUGAUGUAGUUCUUAGUGGCGAAGCAAACUUUGAUGUAGCGUGACAUUGUUGGACCCAUCUCAUGGGACUUACUGUGUUGUAUCCUAAUAGUAACCUCGCACGCAAUGCUAUACUGCAGACCCUUGGGCAUGUCAAACUGUCUCCAGGGAUUUGAAGCUCCAUUUAAAUUAUGCUGCGGUCAGGUUAUCAGAGCACGGCAAGGAAACAAUCGUAACAACACUGUCUGUUCCUGGGAUAAAGACAUUUCACGAGAUACUAUUUGGCACUCGCCUUCCAGAUGUGAAUCUAUCAUUGGUUCCUUAUACUGCUUUGUUAUUUGAAUCUUUUCCAUAAUCCUUGAUCGCUUCUUCCCACAAAUAUUUGAUGCCCCUGAUGGGUUGCUGCAGACAAUCAGAUCCAUACAGUUGGGGUUCAUAGCCUCAUCAUUCAUAAUUCAGAUAAUUCUUGGGUAUAGCAAGUUGCAGGCUAUGUGCUCUAGACAUGCUGAGUUUGUACUCUGGACUGAUCUGCAAGAAGGUUUGAUCGCCCUCUUCAGCAUUCAAUGGGAGGAGCACAUGCUGCCUCCAAACCGCAUCAGAGGAUGAGGCAUCGGCCGCCUUCGUAGUGAAAACGAGGACGUCAAGACAAGGAAACUCAAAAGGAUAAUCAAAAUUCUUUUUAGAAUAUUACUCAAUCUUAUGCUAGAAGAACUUGGUGUUUCAAAGGAUGAAUAACAUCUUGAGCUAUGUGAGUAUUGUUCUGUUUAACGCCUCUGCGCUCCAAGCGGAAUGUUCUCCCGUGUACCCCUCGAUGUCUGUAAUAAAGUCCAAGAGCUAUGAAAACAACAUGGAUUCUGCAUGUGUAAAAUCCAUACAUGUGUUGAUCUGGCGACAAAUACAAUCAUCAUAAACUGCUUAUGUCAAUUGUUCAUAAGCGUUUGCUACUCCUUUUGUGAUUUCGUUUGAUUUAUCCUAAUUUCAUCAUACGACUUUUUUUCCUGUGAAACCUGAAAAAUAAUUUAUUAUUC